rnacentral:rRNA from 1 species
UAGGGAAUAUUAGAAAUGGACGAAAGUCUGAUCUAGCAACACCGCGUGUGCGAAGAAGGCCUUCGGGUCGUAAAGCACUUUUUGGAAGGAAUAGGAAGGAAUGUACUUCCAGAAUAAGUCUCGGCUAACUACGUGCCAGCAGCCGCGGUAACACGUAGGAGGCAAACGUUAUCCGGAUUUACUGGGCGUAAAGCGCGUGUAGGUGGUACUGUAAGUAGGGCGUGAAAGCUCCAGGCUCAACUGGGAGACGCCGUUCUAAACUACAGGACUAGAGGAUGGUAGAGGGAGGUGGAAUUCCAGGUGUAGCGGUGGAAUGCGCAGAUAUCUGGAGGAACACCGGUGGCGAAGGCGGCCUCCUGGACCAUUCCUGACACUCAGACGCGAAAGCUAGGGUAGCAAACGG